GCCCAGACUCCUACGGGAGGCAGCAGUGGGGAAUAUUGCACAAUGGGGGGAACCCUGAUGCAGCGACGCCGCGUGGGUGAAGGAGCACCUCGGUGCGUAAAGCCCUAUCAGCAGGGAAGAAAAUGACGGUACCUGACAAAGAAGCCCCGGCUAACUACGUGCCAGCAGCCGCGGUAAUACGUAGGGGGCAAGCGUUAUCCGGAUUUACUGGGUGUAAAGGGAGCGUAGACGGCGGCGCAAGUCCGGAGUGAAAGCCCACGGCCCAACCGUGGGACUGCUCUGGAAACUGUGCGGCUUGAGUGCGGGAGGGGCAGGCGGAAUUCCUGGUGUAGCGGUGAAAUGCGUAGAUAUCAGGAGGAACACCGGUGGCGAAGGCGGCCUGCUGGACUGCAACUGACGUUGAGGCCCGAAAGCGUGGGGAGCAAACAGGAUUAGAUACCCUUGUA
rnacentral:rRNA from 1 species